GGCCUGGUCGCCGACCUGGGUGACGGCACCGGCGAUCACGUCGUCGAUCUGGACCGGAUCGACUCCGCUACGAGCCAC
rnacentral:tRNA from 1 species